rnacentral:rRNA from 3 species
UUUAUGGAGAGUUUGAUCCUGGCUCAGAGUGAACGCUGGCGGCGUGCCUAAUACAUGCAAGUCGAACGAUGAAGCUUCUAGCUUGCUAGAAUGCUGAUUAGUGGCGCACGGGUGAGUAACGCAUAGGUCAUGUGCCUCUUAGUUUGGGAUAGCCAUUGGAAACGAUGAUUAAUACCAGAUACUCCCUACGGGGGAAAGAUUUAUCGCUAAGAGAUCAGCCUAUGUCCUAUCAGCUUGUUGGUAAGGUAAUGGCUUACCAAGGCUAUGACGGGUAUCCGGCCUGAGAGGGUGAACGGACACACUGGAACUGAGACACGGUCCAGACUCCUACGGGAGGCAGCAGUAGGGAAUAUUGCUCAAUGGGGGAAACCCUGAAGCAGCAACGCCGCGUGGAGGAUGAAGGUUUUAGGAUUGUAAACUCCUUUUGUUAGAGAAGAUAAUGACGGUAUCUAACGAAUAAGCACCGGCUAACUCCGUGCCAGCAGCCGCGGUAAUACGGAGGGUGCAAGCGUUACUCGGAAUCACUGGGCGUAAAGAGCGCGUAGGCGGGAUAGUCAGUCAGGUGUGAAAUCCUAUGGCUUAACCAUAGAACUGCAUUUGAAACUACUAUUCUAGAGUGUGGGAGAGGUAGGUGGAAUUCUUGGUGUAGGGGUAAAAUCCGUAGAGAUCAAGAGGAAUACUCAUUGCGAAGGCGACCUGCUGGAACAUUACUGACGCUGAUUGCGCGAAAGCGUGGGGAGCAAACAGGAUUAGAUACCCUGGUAGUCCACGCCCUAAACGAUGGAUGCUAGUUGUUGGAGGGCUUAGUCUCUCCAGUAAUGCAGCUAACGCAUUAAGCAUCCCGCCUGGGGAGUACGGUCGCAAGAUUAAAACUCAAAGGAAUAGACGGGGACCCGCACAAGCGGUGGAGCAUGUGGUUUAAUUCGAAGAUACACGAAGAACCUUACCUAGGCUUGACAUUGAGAGAAUCCGCUAGAAAUAGUGGAGUGUCUGGCUUGCCAGACCUUGAAAACAGGUGCUGCACGGCUGUCGUCAGCUCGUGUCGUGAGAUGUUGGGUUAAGUCCCGCAACGAGCGCAACCCCCUUUCUUAGUUGCUAACAGGUUAUGCUGAGAACUCUAAGGAUACUGCCUCCGUAAGGAGGAGGAAGGUGGGGACGACGUCAAGUCAUCAUGGCCCUUACGCCUAGGGCUACACACGUGCUACAAUGGGGUGCACAAAGAGAAGCAAUACUGCGAAGUGGAGCCAAUCUUCAAAACACCUCUCAGUUCGGAUUGUAGGCUGCAACUCGCCUGCAUGAAGCUGGAAUCGCUAGUAAUCGCAAAUCAGCCAUGUUGCGGUGAAUACGUUCCCGGGUCUUGUACUCACCGCCCGUCACACCAUGGGAGUUGUGUUUGCCUUAAGUCAGGAUGCUAAAUUGGCUACUGCCCACGGCACACACAGCGACUGGGGUGAAGUCGUAACAAGGUAACCGUAGGUGAACCUGCGGUUGGAUCACCUCCUUU